rnacentral:rRNA from 1 species
GAUGUGGUUUAAUUCCAUGCAACGCGAAAAACCUUACCCACCUUUGACAUGUACGGAAUCCUUUAGAGAUAGAGGAGUGCUCGAAAGAGAACCGUAACACAGGUGCUGCAUGGCUGUCGUCAGCUCGUGUCGUGAGAUGUUGGGUUAAGUCCCGCAACGAGCGCAACCCUUGUCAUUAGUUGCUACAUUUAGUUGGGCACUCUAAUGAGACUGCCGGUGACAAACCGGAGGAAGGUGGGGAUGACGUCAAGUCCUCAUGGCCCUUAUAGGUGGGGCUACACACGUCAUACAAUGGCUGGUACAGAGGGUUGCCAACCCGCGAGGGGGAGCCAAUCCCAUAAAGCCAGUCGUAGUCCGGAUCGCAGUCUGCAACUCGACUGCGUGAAGUCGGAAUCGCUANUAAUCGCGGAUCAGAAUGUCCCGGUGAAUACGUUCCGGGU